AACGAACGCUGGCGGCAUGCCUAACACAUGCAAGUCGAACGAGAACUUCGGGUCUAGUGGCGCACGGGUGCGUAACGCGUGGGAACCUGCACUUAGGUUCGGAAUAACUCCCCGAAAGGGGUGCUAAUACCGGAUAAUGUCUUCGGACCAAAGAUUUAUCGCCUUUGGAUGGGCCCGCGUUGGAUUAGCUAGUUGGUAGGGUAAAAGCCUACCAAGGGGACGAUCCAUAGCUGGUCUGAGAGAAUGAUCAGCCACACUGGGACUGCGACACGGCCCAGACUCCUACGGGAGGCAGCAGUGGGGAAUAGUGGACAAUGGGCGAAAGCCUGAUCCAGCAAGGCCGCGUGAGUGAUGAAGGCCUUAGGGUUGUAAAGCUCUUUUACCCGGGAUGAUAAUGACAGUACCGGGAGAAUAAGCUCCGGCUAACUCCGUG
rnacentral:rRNA from 1 species